GCUUCUUGCUAAGUGAGGUAAAUAAGAAAC
rnacentral:piRNA from 1 species